GACGAACGCUGGCGGCGUGCUUAACACAUGCAAGUCGAACGGAAAGGCCCUGCUUUUGUGGGGUGCUCGAGUGGCGAACGGGUGAGUAACACGUGAGUAACCUGCCCUUGACUUUGGGAUAACUUCAGGAAACUGUGGCUAAUACCGGAUAGGAGCUCCUGCUGCAUGGUGGGGGUUGGAAAGUUUCGGCGGUUGGGGAUGGACUCGCGGCUUAUCAGCUUGUUGGUGGGGUAGUGGCUUACCAAGGCUUUGACGGGUAGCCGGCCUGAGAGGGUGACCGGCCACAUUGGGACUGAGAUACGGCCCAGACUCCUACGGGAGGCAGCAGUGGGGAAUAUUGCACAAUGGGCGGAAGCCUGAUGCAGCAACGCAGCGUGCGGGAUGACGGCCUUCGGGUUGUAAACUGCUUUCGCCUGUGACGAAGCGUGAGUGACGGUAAUGAGUAAAGAAGCACCGGCUAACUACGUG
rnacentral:rRNA from 1 species